rnacentral:rRNA from 1 species
GCAAGUCGAACGAGAACGUUCCUUCGGGAAUUAGUAGAGUGGCAGACGGGUUCGUAACACGUGGGAACCUACCUUAUAGUACGGAAUAGCCCCGGGAAACUGGGAUUAAUACCGUAUACGCCCUUCGGGGGAAAGAUUUAUCGCUAUAAGAUGGGCCCGCGGCUGAUUAGCGUGUGGGUGAGGUAAUGGCUCACAAAGGCAACGAUCAGUAGCUGGUUUGAGAGGAUGAGC